ACUGGACAGAGUAGCUGCUACCAGUAACACACUUAGGCCACCACCAGGGUUUAUCGUGGAACCCCUAAAGAAAGACUUAUCCAUGGAGGCAGAGAGCAGUAAGUGACUAUGUUGCUGCACAGGACACCAUUCUAUUGUAGUUACUGGUCCCUUGUGCUGAGAGAUGUGGAACACCAAGCGUUUUGGUAUGUCUGAAGUUUUGCAUUGGUUUUCCAGAAUCUGAAGACUCAUAGGCAACCAGAGAAUUCAUGUGGCAAUCUGUAAUGGAUAGGAUAUGCACUCUGCUUCUGGCUGUGAACCUGAUGGAGCUUCCUGUAAUGAC